GAUUUCAACUCAAAAAGUCAUCAAUAACAAAGUUGUAUAACUCAUCAAUAUCUAUAACUUUUAUUUUAAUCAUUUCUUCAUCUGACGAAGUGAUUUGUAACAUUAUUCUCAAAAUCUACAUAUCUCUCUUAUUGUUUAUAAACAUAUAAGAGAUAUGUACAUUUUGUGAACAAUGUUACAAAUCACUUCGUCGAAUGAAGAAAUGACCCAAAUAAAAGUUAUAGAUCUUGAUGAGUUAUACAAUAUUGUUGUUGAUGACUUUUUCAGUUGAAAUC
rnacentral:pre_miRNA from 2 species